AAAGAAACCAACAGGGAUUGCCCUAGUAACGGCGAGUGAAGCGGCAACAGCUCAAAUUUGAAAUCUGGCUUCGGCCCGAGUUGUAAUUUGUAGAGGAAGAUUUAGGCGCGGCACCUUCUGAGUCCCCUGGAACGGGGCGCCAUAGAGGGUGAGAGCCCCGUAUAGUUGGAUGCCUAGCCUGUGUAAAUCUCCUUCGACGAGUCGAGUAGUUUGGGAAUGCUGCUCAAAAUGGGAGGUAAAUUUCUUCUAAAGCUAAAUAUUGGCCAGAGACCGAUAGCGCACAAGUAGAGUGAUCGAAAGAUGAAAAGCACUUUGAAAAGAGGGUUAAAUAGCACGUGAAAUUGUUGAAAGGGAAGCGCUUGUGACCAGACUUGCGCCGGGCGGAUCAUCCGGUGUUCUCACCGGUGCACUCCGCCCGGCUCAGGCCAGCAUCGGUUCUCGUGGGGGGAUAAAGGCCCUGGGAACGUAGCUCCUCCGGGAGUGUUAUAGCCCAGGGUGUAAUGCCCUCGCGGGGACCGAGGUUCGCGCAUCUGCAAGGAUGCUGGCGUA
rnacentral:rRNA from 1 species